AGCACCGCCCUCCUGAUGACAUCACUCUGUCUCUCUGUAGAACAGAAGCAGCAACAUGGCAACCUUCGUCUCUCUGGCGACGUGUCCUCACUUUCCCGCGGUGACGUCCCGUCGUGGUCUUGUCUACAGAGACUCUCUGUCGGUCCCGGGGGGCUUCCAUCGACCCCCCACCACCAGGCUGCAGGUCCACAGCAGACCCACCAGACCUCACCUCCCACAAUGCAUCACUCUGGCUGGCUCCAAGCCGCCGGGCGGUAUGAAGCACCUGGUCCUGACUCACCUGAGGAAGCUGCUGAUGCUGAGCUCCGCCCAGCAGAGAGUCCUCCACCUGCCGGUCUGACGCCUCCACCAGCUGACGGUGAUGAUGAGCUGAUCUGAGAGCUGCUGGACCAUCGGAGGGCGCCGCAGAGGUUCAGAUAGGCAGAGGUCAGACUGACCCUGAGUCAGUUUAUAUUCUGACCAUGAAUAAAAGACGAACGGACGACUGAAGGUGGAACGAAGCGUUAUAAUGCUUCAUAUUUAUAUUAACGUUAAUACCUGAACACCAACAUCAGAGUAGAGGAGGAAGUACUCCCAUUACUUUAGUAAACGUACCGAUACCACACUAUAGAAAUACUCUGUCACAGUAAAAGUACUAAUACCACACUAUAGAAAUACUCUGUUACAGUUAAAGUACUUAUACAACACUAUAGAAAUACUCUGUUACAGUAAAAGUACUAAUACCACACUAUAGAAAUACUCUGUUACAGUAAAAGUACUAAUACAACACUAUAGAAAUACUCUGUUACAGUGAAAGUACUAAUACCACACUAUAGAAAUACUCUGUUACAGUGAAAGUACUAAUACAACACUAUAGAAAUACACUGUUACAGUAAAAGUACUAAUGCCACACUAUAGAAAUACUCUGUUACAGUAAAAGUACUAAUACAACACUAUAGAAAUAAAAAUACUCUGUUACAGUAAAAGUACUUAUACAACACUAUAGAAAUACUCUGUUACAGUAAAAGUACUAAUACCACACUAUAGAAAUACUCUGUUACAGUAAAAGUACUUAUACAACACUAUAGAAAUACUCAGUUACUGUAAAAAUACUAAUACUACAGUGAUUUGGAAAAUAAUGAGAAAUGACAUAUUUUGUGGUUUUGUUUGUACUUGUUGAAUAUUGAAAUCUUUUUGCAGUGUAGAUAUAAAAUGUAUAUAUAAAGAUAAUUAUUAUUAUUAUAGAAGUUAUUACAUUUAAGCAUCAGAACACAUAAAACAAAUAUUAGAUGUUUUUUAGUAUUAUUAAUAGUGUUUGUACUAUGUUGUCUUAUGUCACUGAUACAGUUUACUGUAUAGAAAUACAAUUUUGACCCAUCAAAUGAAAAGUGGCUGUGUGCAGAGAUUCAGAAGAAUGGAACCAGUUUAGUGUCCCAACUGGUUUCUGGUUUCAACUGCCUGGUGUGUUUUGAUAGAAAUGUUAUUUUCCAUCCACUUUACUGACAAACUGAAACAUGUAACUGCAGUUUGCUCUUCAUAUGCAUAUUCAUAUUAUAGAAGAAGAUCAUCUUUAUUUUGACAGCAUGUUCAUGUCAGCAGAUUAAUAUAUUAGUGCUGGACCUCCUUAAUGAAGAACAAUAGAGUGGAUGGUGUUAUGUAACACGCAGCAGGUCAAAGUUCGUCUGAAAUAUUAAUUAGAAAGCAGUACGGAGCCUCGUCUCCUGCCGACAGCUCACUGCUUAAUCUGUUAAUCUGCUCACUUAAUGAAAACCAGCCAGACUGGAGCUGCUUUCAACUUCAACCCAGCAGGGAAAGACCAGUUUAUAUAUAUACAGUAUAUAUAUAUACACACAAAUAUAUAUAUAUAUACUGUAUAUAUACAUAAGCAAUAUAACAAUGUAUAAUAACGAUAAUAAACAAUAUACAACAAUGA